rnacentral:tmRNA from 1 species
GGGGCUGACUGGUUUUGACAGCGAGAUGAAGUGAUUUGUAAGCAUGCAGUGCAUAGUCGGCUGGCACUAUAAUCUUAGACGUCAAAAUUAUAACUGGCGAAAAUAAUUACGCUCUUGCUGCUUAAUCGAAUUAUAGUAGAUAUAGCUUAAUCCGUGUUUAGGACAUGGACAAGACAUCACUCGGAAGCUGUGGCUUCGAAGCGUUCCGGUUAAGUGGUGUAGGUAAAUCGGAGAUAGAAUAGGAGAGGCUUCGGCUCUUAUUUGAAAUAAAGAAGCUAAGGUUCAGGUUGGUGGCUUCGGUCUUGCCUGUUCCCUACAAUUGAAGGCGAAGAUAAGCAUGUAGAAAGCAAAUUAAUUCCUUGUUUGGACGAGGGUUCGACUCCCUCCAGCUCCAC